rnacentral:rRNA from 1 species
UACGAAGGGGCUAGCGUUGCUCGGAAUCACUGGGCGUAAAGCGCACGUAGGCGGAUUGUUAAGUCAGGGGUGAAAUCCUGGAGCUCAACUCCAGAACUGCCUUUGAUACUGGCGAUCUUGAGUCCGGGAGAGGUGAGUGGAACUGCGAGUGUAGAGGUGAAAUUCGUAGAUAUUCGCAAGAACACCAGUGGCGAAGGCGGCUCACUGGCCCGGUACUGACGCUGAGGUGCGAAAGCGUGGGGAGCGAACGA